UGCUGCAAUUGUGAUCAAGAAAAAGGGAGAGAGACUGGAGCGGUGGAGGGAAGAGAUCUAAAGCCAAAGCAAAUCUAAAAAUUGUUGACUCGUGAAGGUUUAUCCCUCUCCUGGAUGGGCCUUAACCACAGCUCCCCACUCCAUAUUUAUUAAGAAUUGGCAGCAAACUCUGGACUCAUCUAUACAAAGAAAUCCAGUGGCAAAAAUGCCCGGUUAUGGAACAGAGACAGCCUUGGUCGCCUUGGUGGAUGACCUACGCAGGGAACUGGACAGGGUGAGUGUGUCCCUGCUAGUUCUGCUAGACAUC